UAGGGAAUCUCCCACAAUGGGCGAAAGCCUGAUGGAGCAACGCCGCGUGUGUGAUGAAGGGUUUCGGCUCGUAAAACACUGUUGUAAGAGAAGAAUGACAUUGAGAGUAACUGUUCAAUGUGUGACGGUAUCUUACCAGAAAGGAACGGCUAAAUACGUGCCUG
rnacentral:rRNA from 1 species